AUACGGAGGAUCCGAGCGUUAUCCGGAUUUAUUGGGUUUAAAGGGUGCGCAGGCGGCCAUUUAAGUCAGCGGUUAAAUCGUGGGGCUCAACCCCAUUCUGCCGUUGAUACUGGGUGGCUUGAUUGCGGUCGAGGUUGGCGGAAUUCGUUGUGUAGCGGUGAAAUGCAUAGAUAUGAGGAAGAACACCGAUUGCGUAGGCAGCUGACCAGACCGCAAAUGACGCUCAUGCACGAAAGUGCGGGGAUCGAACAGGAUUAGAUACCCUGGUAGUCCGCACAGUAAACGAUGAAUACUUGUUUUCGGCGAUAUAAUGUCGGAGGCAAAGCGAAAGCGAUAAGUAUUCCACCUGGGGAGUACGCCGGCAACGGUGAAACUCAAAGGAAUUGACGGGG
rnacentral:rRNA from 1 species